rnacentral:rRNA from 1 species
GAGUUUGAUUCAUGGCUCAGGACGAACGCUGGCGGCGUGCUUAACACAUGCAAGUCGAACGGUGAAGCGCCUUCCUUUUUGGUGGGUGUGGAUGAGUGGCGAACGGGUGAGUAACACGUGAGUAACCUGCCCCCUUCUUCUGGAUAACCGCAUGAAAGUGUGGCUAAUACGGGAUAUUCUGUGCCUGCUGCAUGGUGGGUGUGGGAAAGAUUGCGCUUUUUUGGUGUUUUUGGUGGGGGAUGGGCUCGCGGCCUAUCAGCUUGUUGGUGGGGUGAUGGCCUACCAAGGCGGUGACGGGUAGCCGGCCUGAGAGGGUGGACGGUCACACUGGGACUGAGACACGGCCCAGACUCCUACGGGAGGCAGCAGUGGGGAAUAUUGCACAAUGGGCGCAAGCCUGAUGCAGCGACGCCGCGUGAGGGAUGGAGGCCUUCGGGUUGUGAACCUCUUUCGCCAGUGAAGCAGGCCUGCUCCUUUUUUGUGGGUGGGUUGACGGUAGCUGGAUAAGAAGCGCCGACUAACUACGUGCCAGCAGCCGCGGUAAUACGUAGGGCGCGAGCGUUGUCCGGAAUUAUUGGGCGUAAAGAGCUCGUAGGCGGCUGGUCGCGUCUGUCGUGAAAUCCUCUGGCUUAACUGGGGGCUUGCGGUGGGUACGGGCCGGCUUGAGUGCGGUAGGGGAGACUGGAACUCCUGGUGUAGCGGUGGAAUGCGCAGAUAUCAGGAAGAACACCGGUGGCGAAGGCGGGUCUCUGGGCCGUUACUGACGCUGAGGAGCGAAAGCGUGGGGAGCGAACAGGAUUAGAUACCCUGGUAGUCCACGCCGUAAACGUUGGGCACUAGGUGUGGGGGGCCUUUUCCGGGUUUUCCGCGCCGUAGCUAACGCAUUAAGUGCCCCGCCUGGGGAGUACGGCCGCAAGGCUAAAACUCAAAGGAAUUGACGGGGGCCCGCACAAGCGGCGGAGCAUGCGGAUUAAUUCGAUGCAACGCGAAGAACCUUACCAAGGCUUGACAUGUGCCGGUCGGCUCCGGAGACGGGGUUUCCUCCUUGUGGGGCCGGUUCACAGGUGGUGCAUGGUUGUCGUCAGCUCGUGUCGUGAGAUGUUGGGUUAAGUCCCGCAACGAGCGCAACCCUUGUCUCGUGUUGCCAGCACGUUGUGGUGGGGACUCGCGGGAGACUGCCGGGGUCAACUCGGAGGAAGGUGGGGAUGACGUCAAAUCAUCAUGCCCCUUAUGUCUUGGGCUUCACGCAUGCUACAAUGGCCGGUACAGAGGGCUGCGAUACCGUGAGGUGGAGCGAAUCCCUUAAAGCCGGUCUCAGUUCGGAUCGGUGUCUGCAACUCGACACCGUGAAGUUGGAGUCGCUAGUAAUCGCAGAUCAGCAACGCUGCGGUGAAUACGUUCUCGGGCCUUGUACACACCGCCCGUC